GCACCCGUAGCUCAAUGGAUAGAGUGCCUGACUUCGAAUCAGUGGGUUGGGGGUUCGAGUCCCUCCGGGUGCG
rnacentral:tRNA from 1 species